GAUGAUGAUGAUGUUGAUCAGAAUAAUUAUAACGUCGAUGGUGAUGAUGAUGAUGAUGAUCACAGUUGUGAUAAUGAUGAUGGUCGUCA
rfam:Octopus bimaculoides Scaffold205469_contig_3, whole genome shotgun sequence.